GACCAGACUCCUACGGGAGGCAGCAGUGAGGAAUAUUGGUCAAUGGGCUUACGCCUGAACCAGCCAAGUCGCGUGAGGGAAGACUGCCCUAUGGGUUGUAAACCUCUUUUGUCAGGGAGCAAUUGGCGCUACGUGUAGCGUUAUCGAGAGUACCUGAAGAAAAAGCAUCGGCUAACUCCGUGCCAGCAGCCGCGGUAAUACGGAGGAUGCGAGCGUUAUCCGGAUUUAUUGGGUUUAAAGGGUGCGUAGGGGCGCGCCCAAGAGAGGGGAAAACGCGGGGGCCACACCCCCGCCCCGCCGUUGAAACUGGCAGUCUCGAGUUGGAGAGAAGUAUGCGGAAUGCGCGGUGUAGCGGUGAAAUGCAUAGAUAUCGCGCAGAACUCCGAUUGCGAAGGCAGCAUGCCGGCUCCACACUGACGCUGAGGCACGAAAGCGUGGGUAUCGAACAGGAUUAGAUACCCCAGUA
rnacentral:rRNA from 1 species